rnacentral:rRNA from 1 species
GAAUGCUGACAUAAGUAACGAUAAAGCGGGUGAAAAGCCCGCUCGCCGGAAGACCAAGGGUUCCUGUCCAACGUUAAUCGGGGCAGGGUGAGUCGACCCCUAAGGCGAGGCCGAAAGGCGUAGUCGAUGGGAAACGGGUUAAUAUUCCCGUACUUGGUGUUACUGCGAAGGGGGGACGGAGAAGGCUAUGUUGGCCGGGCGACGGUUGUCCCGGUUUAAGCGUGUAGGUGUGUGUUCCAGGUAAAUCCGGUUCACUUUAACACUGAGGCGUGACGACGAGGCACUACGGUGCUGAAGCAACAAAUGCCCUGCUUCCAGGAAAAGCCUCUAAGCAUCAGGUAACAUCAAAUCGUACCCCAAACCGACACAGGUGGUCAGGUAGAGAAUACCAAGGCGCUUGAGAGAACUCGGGUGAAGGAACUAGGCAAAAUGGUGCCGUAACUUCGGGAGAAGGCACGCUGACACGUAGGUGAAGUGAUUUACUCAUGGAGCUGAAGUCAGUCGAAGAUACCAGCUGGCUGCAACUGUUUAUUAAAAACACAGCACUGUGCAAACACGAAAGUGGACGUAUACGGUGUGACGCCUGCCCGGUGCCGGAAGGUUAAUUGAUGGGGUCAGCGCAAGCGAAGCUCCUGAUCGAAGCCCCGGUAAACGGCGGCCGUAACUAUAACGGUCCUAAGGUAGCGAAAUUCCUUGUCGGGUAAGUUCCGACCUGCACGAAUGGCGUAAUGAUGGCCAGGCUGUCUCCACCCGAGACUCAGUGAAAUUGAACUCGCUGUGAAGAUGCAGUGUACCCGCGGCAAGACGGAAAGACCCCGUGAACCUUUACUAUAGCUUGACACUGAACAUUGAGCCUUGAUGUGUAGGAUAGGUGGGAGGCUUUGAAGUGUGGACGCCAGUCUGCAUGGAGCCGACCUUGAAAUACCACCCUUUAAUGUUUGAUGUUCUAACGUGGACCCGUAAUCCGGGUUGCGGACAGUGUCUGGUGGGUAGUUUGACUGGGGCGGUCUCCUCCUAAAGAGUAACGGAGGAGCACGAAGGUUGGCUAAUCCUGGUCGGACAUCAGGAGGUUAGUGCAAUGGCAUAAGCCAGCUUGACUGCGAGCGUGACGGCGCGAGCAGGUGCGAAAGCAGGUCAUAGUGAUCCGGUGGUUCUGAAUGGAAGGGCCAUCGCUCAACGGAUAAAAGGUACUCCGGGGAUAACAGGCUGAUACCGCCCAAGAGUUCAUAUCGACGGCGGUGUUUGGCACCUCGAUGUCGGCUCAUCACAUCCUGGGGCUGAAGUAGGUCCCAAGGGUAUGGCUGUUCGCCAUUUAAAGUGGUACGCGAGCUGGGUUUAGAACGUCGUGAGACAGUUCGGUCCCUAUCUGCCGUGGGCGCUGGAGAACUGAGGGGGGCUGCUCCUAGUACGAGAGGACCGGAGUGGACGCAUCACUGGUGUUCGGGUUGUCAUGCCAAUGGCACU